ACCCUGCUCUCCAUGCUAACCCUGAGCCUGCUGCUAUCAGCUCGAUGUGGCACAUGGCUCCAGUUUGAUUAUAUUCUCUAAGACUUCUGGUUGUCUUGUUUUGUUCUCUUGGAGUUCUCAUCUGAUCUCGUGAACACCGCCCCGCCAUCCUCCAGCCGUCCAGCCCUCCACAUGUGCAGCCAGCCGCCUUACCCUGUGCACACCCUCAACUCUCUACGCACCGCGUUCCAACCAGCACCACCAUGAGCUGCUGCACCUGCACCUCCGCCUGCACCUGCACCUCCAGCUGCACACAACCAGUUUCAGCAAGCCAGUUACAUCCUUGGCAAUAACUGCAGAUGGAUGCGAGCAGGAUCUGAGGUCCAGAUGCAGCGACUCGCUCUGCUGCUGAUUGAUGGCCUGGAGAAAAAGAAGAGAAAGUCUUAGAAUACGUCUUGGGAUCUCCUGAUUUAAUUUAACUGAUGGUUGAAUAAAGUGCUGUCCAUUAAAGCGGAUCAGAACAAAUCCGAGGAUUGGAGGACGAUUCCUCGGUCUGUGAUGAGUUUCUCCUUCUGCCAAAGAGUGACAGACGCUUCACGCCACAGAGCUGAGAGAACGAGGACUGUCUUUACACUACCAUGUGCACGAUAUCUGGAUUAACUGCAACCGUCAGAUGAAAAAUCAGCAGCUGUCCCACUGCUCCAGAACACAGUCCAGGAUUGUAUCCAGACACAGCAGAAGACUCCAAACAGUAGACACAACUACCUUCAGCUACUGAAGAUGUAUAAAGCAUCUGUACAGACUUAUCUAAGUCAGGGGACAGAAAAAGAUGACUAAUCACAAAC